GGGCCGCUUCGUGGCGCCGCGGGCAGAGGUCUUCCGGUGGAGGAUUUUUGGUCACUGCUGAGCAGUUGGGGCUUAUUGGCCCCUCGGAAAGGGUACGCCUGGGAGCGAUACAGAAAGGAUUCGGUGUGCCCUGGCCUGAAGCUGCCAACAGCCCUGGAUGAUCUGGAAGGACUCUUGAUAUUCAGGUAGGGGCCCAGCAGGCCCAGCGGACCUUCUCUGAGGACCCCAAAGCAAGCUUUCACCCAAAAUGAUUAACUCACCGGUUUUUGAGGUGUGGCAAACAUCUUCUCCCAGGUUGUCAUUUGUAUUUUAACCUUGAUGUUUUCUGUCAUACAUAAAACUUUCAGUAUUUUUUGGUAAUAAAAUCUGUUUAAUCUUUUCCCUUA